rnacentral:rRNA from 1 species
GAGCUCCUACGGGGGGCAGCAGUGAGGAAUAUUGGUCAAUGGUCGGGAGACUGAACCAGCCAAGCCGCGUGAGGGAUGAAGGUACAGAGUAUCGUAAACCUCUUUUGUCAGGGAACAAAGGCGGGGACGCGUCCCCGGAUGAGUGUACCUGAAGAAAAAGCAUCGGCUAAAUCCGUGCCAGCAGCCGCGGUAAUACGGAGGAUGCGAGCGUUAUCCGGAUUUAUUGGGUUUAAAGGGUGCGCAGGCGGUAUGUUAAG